rnacentral:tRNA from 1 species
CCGUAGCUCAGUGGUAGAGCGCUCGGCUGUAGACCGAGUGGUCCCCGGUUCAAAUCCGGGCGGGGGGACCA